GUGCAGCAGUCGAGAAUUUUUCUCAAUGGGGCAACCCUGAAGGAGCGACGCCGCGUGGAGGAUGAAGGCUUUCGGGUUGUAAACUCCUGUCAUUUGAGAACAAGUGGCCGAAAUUAACUACUUCGGCCUUGAUAGUAUCAGAAGAGGAAGGGACGGCUAACUCUGUGCCAGCAGCCGCGGUAAUACAGAGGUCCCAAGCGUUGUUCGGAUUCAUUGGGCGUAAAGGGUGCGUAGGUGGCGUGGUAAGUCGGGUGUGAAAUUUCGGAGCUUAACUCCGAAACUGCAUUCGAUACUGCCGUGCUUGAGGACUGGAGAGGAGACUGGAAUUUACGGUGUAGCAGUGAAAUGCGUAGAGAUCGUAAGGAAGACCAGUGGCGAAGGCGGGUCUCUGGACAGUUCCUGACACUGAGGCACGAAGGCCAGGGGAGCAAACGGGAUUAGAUACCCGCGUAGU
rnacentral:rRNA from 1 species